AUUGAACGCUGGCGGCAGGCCUAACACAUGCAAGUCGAGCGGAUGAAGGGAGCUUGCUCCUGGAUUCAGCGGCGGACGGGUGAGUAAUGCCUAGGAAUCUGCCUGGUAGUGGGGGAUAACGUCCGGAAACGGGCGCUAAUACCGCAUACGUCCUGAGGGAGAAAGUGGGGGAUCUUCGGACCUCACGCUAUCAGAUGAGCCUAGGUCGGAUUAGCUAGUUGGUGGGGUAAAGGCCUACCAAGGCGACGAUCCGUAACUGGUCUGAGAGGAUGAUCAGUCACACUGGAGCUGAGACACGGUCCAGACUCCUACGGGAGGCAGCAGUGGGGAAUAUUGGACAAUGGGCGAAAGCCUGAUCCAGCCAUGUCGCGUGUGUGACGAAGGUCUUCGGAUUGUAAAGCACUUUAAGUUGGGAGGAAGGGCAGUAAGUUAAUACCUUGCUGUUUUGACGUUACCAACAGAAUAAGCACCGGCUAACUUCGUG
rnacentral:rRNA from 1 species